rnacentral:rRNA from 1 species
UACGGGGGGGGGCAAGCGUUGUUCGGAAUUACUGGGCGUAAAGGGCUGUAGGCGGCCAACUAAGUCGGAUGUGAAAUCCCCAGGCUUAACCUGGGAACUGCAUCCGAUACUGGUUGGCUUGAAUCCGGGAGAGGGAUGCGGAAUUCCAGGUGUAGCGGUGAAAUGCGUAGAUAUCUGGAGGAACACCGGUGGCGAAGGCGGCAUCCUGGACCGGCAUUGACGCUGAGUGAGCGAAAGCCAGGGGAGCAAACGGG